rnacentral:sRNA from 1 species
UCCCUGUACAACUAGGCGUUCUAUUGAC